UACGUAGGGUGCAAGCGUUGUCCGGAAUUAUUGGGCGUAAAGAGCUCGUAGGCGGUUUGUCGCGUCGGCUGUGAAAACCCGGAGCUCAACCCCGGGCCUGCAGUCGAUACGGGCGGACUCGAGUUCGGCAGGGGAGACUGGAAUUCCUGGUGUAGCGGUGAAAUGCGCAGAUAUCAGGAGGAACACCGGUGGCGUAGACGGCUCUCUGGACCGUAACUGACGCUGAGACGCGAAAGCGUGGGUAGCAAACAGG
rnacentral:rRNA from 1 species